rnacentral:rRNA from 1 species
GACGAACGCUGGCGGCGUGCUUAACACAUGCAAGUCGAACGGAAAGGCCCUGCUUUUGUUGGUUGCUCGAUUGGCGAACGGGUGAGUAACACGUGAGUAACCUGCCCUUGACUUUGGGAUAACUUCAGGAAACUGGGGCUAAUACCGGAUAUGAGCUCCUGCUGCAUGUUGGUGGUUGGUAAGUUUCGGCGGUUGGGGAUGGUCUAGCGGCUUAUGAGCUGGUUGGUGGGGUAGUGGCUUAACAAGGUUUUGACGGGUAGCCGGCCUGGGAGGGUGACCGGCCACAUGGGGACUGAGAUAGGCACCAGAAUGCUACGGGACGCAGUAGUCGGGAGUCUUGCACAAUGGGCCGAAGCCUGAUGCAGAAACGCCGCGUGCGGAAUGACGGGCUUCGAGUUGUAAACAGAUUUCGCAUGUAACGAAGAGAGAGUGACGGUAAUGAGUCAAGAAGCACCGGCUAACUACGUG